CUAAGCGGGUACGCGACGCGAGCGGGGCGCCUUGCACGUUUUCCCAGUUUCGGGAUCGGCGGUCGUCAAGAGCAGUUCGGGCACGGGGGAGGCGGAGCAGAGCAGGGACGAGGGAGGAAAGGGUGCUGCGGCGGGAGCUCGGGCGCGGCGGAGGUGGAGCAGAGGAGGGGCGAGGGAGGAGAUGUUGCGGCGGCGGUAGCUACGCGGCAUUCCCUGCGGCAGCUGUGCAGCCCCUAUGCGUCGCUGCCUCUCGGCCUCGUGUCGUCUUUGGGUGAGGAUUGGGAUAAGCGAGCUAACUGUUCUCGUCCCGUUGCCUAACCUAGCUCCCGCGGGAACGGAGCGGCGGCGACGUGGACCUAAGUGAUCGGUCACACACCUCAGCGGGACCGGCGGCGCAGCUCAGUGGAGGCAGCGGCGGCGCUCAGUCGAGGUGGCAACGGCGGUCCUUAGGGAAGGGCUGUUCCUUUUAAGGAUCCCUAAACUAACUACCUCCGUAGUGAUAAACCACGACCUAAUAGGUAAAAACGUUGUGGUCGUUACAACAAAAACAAACCUUACCGGUCAAGAGUUAAAGAUUUAGCCGGUAUGAUAUGAAGAACAGUCAAUACUAUAUAAAAAGUUGAUAUGUUCGUGAACCCCUUCAGUCCCUUUGACUUGGUUUCUGUUUGUGAAAAUGACUCGUAACCUCUUUGUACAAAGAUGCUUACACGGUUUUGACUACCUAAAUUGAUGUCCAUAACGUGAUAAUAAGAUGUCCAUAACGUGAUAAUAAGAUGUCCAUAACGACAUAACGUAAUAGGUUGACAUUCAGGCAAGAUUUGAGAUUCGGGGUACAUUUAGACUACCUUCUAACCCGGUAAAUUAAACUUGGUUUUUCCCACUAUACGAGAGUCAACGAACUUAGACAGGUCUGGACCUUUAAUCUAUAUAAAACUUUCGAAAUAUAACUCAUCCUCUAUCAACUAUUUCCACAUGGAGAACAUCCUCUAAUAAUGAACUAAUGGACGAAGAUACGCCACUUGUUUACUCAUUCGUCAAAAUCAACUAUUUCCACAUCCGUUGUGUGGUAAAAACAAGGUAAAAAACCAAACAUUCAGUUCCUACAAAUCCGAAAGGACUUAUACAAUUAACACUUUGUCAAAACUACGUUAAAAACUUGGUAAGUCAGACAAAACAAGCACGUCAAGUACCAUGGUGUAGACGUCCGAUGUAGAACACAUCUAAACCGAUGGUGUAAUAUACUACUACAAAGUGAAACGAGUCAGUUCCAAAGUCAUUUUUAAACUUAACUUGUAUAAAAACAUCUGUACGUUUUUACCAGACGUAAAAAAUGUAGCGGGACUGUAGGUUAAGUUUGAUAUAAAAGACGGAUUUGACAACGCAUGGAUACUCUAGUACCCUAUUGAGUCUGUACUCGGCCACAGGUCACGCGUCAACCCACGUAAUAAAGCACUGUAGGUCACGAUUGACAAAAAAGUUCCGGUGGGUUACCUCACUCCCACUCAUUACACCGUAGUCGGAUAAGACCUGGGCACAUAAUAAGAGGGAGGCUAGUUUUAAUUCACAGCACCAAAAUCAAGUCUUUGGUACGUACUGUGAAUAAAACCUAGCCUCCCUCAUCAUAAAUUCUCUAAGGAACGUAUGCGUACUAAGUCUUUUCAUGUCACACCCUACGGUAAUAUUUGAGUACUUUAGACUAGGACUAUCACUGCACUAAAUGAGACAAACUAGUUUGUCCAGCUUCGGUUUCAACAAAAAUAACCUAGACUACUACAGGGACGACGAACGACGACAUUCGUUCCUUUAACUGAUGUUCAAAGUUGCAGUUGGACUUAAAAAUAACACCUACAAACUCGCACUUGGACUUAAAACU
rnacentral:rRNA from 1 species